AGUUAAAAGCGCAAGGAUAAGCCUAAUGUCUUGAAAACAUUAAGAAAGAAGUUCAAAUCUUCUGUUAACUU
rnacentral:tRNA from 1 species